ensembl:lncRNA
GGGCUCUUUUCUUUCCCUGCAUCUUUCAGUGGAGUUUUUGCCAUAAUUUCAUAUCCCGCCAUUUAUAGCCUCGCAAGGUGGAGCGAGCUAGCCUGCAGCACCCAUUAGAGCAGUUAAAAAGGCACGCCGAGCUCCUUAUGGAAACAGCUUGCCAGACCCCCAGAAGGAUGACUGUGUGACGUCCUGCCCCCUCCGCCGCUCCAGGAGCCAUCAUUACUGUGGGCUCGCCCAUUACUGACCGGCUUCCAUGCGCUAUUUCAACGUUGCCACGGAGGGGCAGAGCUGAGGCUGCUUCGUGGCGGCGAGGAGAGCGAAACGAGUCCUCUUCGCUUAGGAACGAUCCGCAUAUCCCGCUAGGGGCGUCCUGCUGCGUGCCGAGCUGCUCAGCGGGAAGGCUCUGUUCUCGUCUAAUAGUGGUCUGCCUUCUUUCUUGGUUGUGUUUCUAAGGAGCUGAGGCUGGAUGUGGCUCUGGGCUGCCUGGUCUGCUGGUUGGAGACUCUGAACACAGCAGGGGGUUGGAAUGGGAUGAGCAUUGUGGUCUUUUUCAACCCAGGCCAUUCUGUGGUUCUGUGAUUCUCUUGAAGGCCGCUGGAAGCCCCAAUUAGCUUCAUUCCCUCAUUGGCUUCACCUUGGGGCUCAGGACAUCUCAAGGGGCUUCCAGCUCCCUGCCUGCCUCUGCCUUAAAAUGUCAUUGAGAAAGCAAGCAAGAAACCACGCUUGUUAGAGAAUCUUCUUCCCAGGAGUCCACUCCAGCGUGUGCCUCCCUCACCUGCAGGCAGCAGUGGUAACAACUGGGCUAAGAAAGGCGUUGUAGAGCAAAGUGUGUUCUGGUUGGGCUCCAUCUGCUAACACAGGGAAGAGGGAGAUGGGAGCAGGCAUGAGGAAGCUUCGCUGCGGUCAUCACAAGUGCUUUCUUCAGCCACAGUGUGCUGAAUGAAACUGAACCAG